GACGAACGCUGGCGGCGUGCCUAAUACAUGCAAGUAGAACGCUGAAGGAGGAGCUUGCUUCUCUGGAUGAGUUGCGAACGGGUGAGUAACGCGUAGGUAACCUGCCUGGUAGCGGGGGAUAACUAUUGGAAACGAUAGCUAAUACCGCAUAACAGUAGAUAUCGCAUGAUAUCUACUUGAAAGGUGCAAUUGCAUCACUACCAGAUGGACCUGCGUUGUAUUAGCUAGUUGGUGAGGUAACGGCUCACCAAGGCGACGUUACAUAGCCGACCUGAGAGGGUGAUCGGCCACACUGGGACUGAGACACGGCCCAGACUCCUACGGGAGGCAGCAGUAGGGAAUCUUCGGCAAUGGACGGAAGUCUGACCGAGCAACGCCGCGUGAGUGAAGAAGGUUUUCGGAUCGUAAAGCUCUGUUGUAAGAGAAGAACGAGUGUGAGAGUGGAAAGUUCACACUGUGACGGUAGCUUACCAGAAAGGGACGGCUAACUACGUG
rnacentral:rRNA from 1 species